rnacentral:rRNA from 1 species
GUGGGGAAUAUUGGACAAUGGGGGGAACCCUGAUCCAGCCAUGCCGCGUGUGUGAAGAAGGCCUUUUGGUUGUAAAGCACUUUAAGCGAGGAGGAGGCUACCGAGAUUAAUACUCUUGGAUAGUGGACGUUACUCGCAGAAUAAGCACCGGCUAACUCUGUGCCAGCAGCCGCGGUAAUACAGAGGGUGCGAGCGUUAAUCGGAUUUACUGGGCGUAAAGCGUGCGUAGGCGGCUUUUUAAGUCGGAUGUGAAAUCCCUGAGCUUAACUUAGGAAUUGCAUUAGAUACUGGAAAGCUAGAGUAUGGGAGAGGAUGGUAGAAUUCCAGGUGUAGCGGUGAAAUGCGUAGAGAUCUGGAGGAAUACCGAUGGCGAAGGCAGCCAUCUGGCCUAAUACUGACGCUGAGGUACGAAAGCAUGGGGAGCAAACAGGAUUAGAAACCCUUGUAGUCC